AGGUCUCAAGAGUAAUGGAAGCUUGGAAUACUUCCACAGAAUCCAGGUGCUGACUGUCAUAACUAACAUUAAUUUCUGUUUCCUCAGUCCUGGACUUUGCAUUUUGUCUUCAGGCAAAAACAAAUCCUGAUCAGACAUAGGAACUGCAUUAACUCUUCUUAUGUGGAAGCAGUGCUCACAAUCGCACCAUCAGGAGAGAGCAUUGUCCUGCCUGGUGCUCUGCUCAUCACCCCUGCCAGCAGAGGCAAGGCUACUUCUGUAUUCCACCAGUCAGAGUCUGAAGCAGGCCAGGAUGACAUCAAUAUUUCCUUCAAGAAGGCCAGCAGUAAAUCCACAGUCUAUGUCUGAAUACAUGUGGUUCAAGUGACAUAAUGUUAACUUUUUUUCUCUCUCUGUUGCUCUUUCAAGAAUAAAUUUACUUUUUUAAUUUUUUUUUUUUACAUUGGGAAGGUGAUACAUGGUGAGUAAAAAUUUUUGAGGUCCUGGAAAGAUGCUUUUAAAA
rnacentral:lncRNA from 12 species